CUAUACCGCAACUACUUCUAGUUACUGUAGCGCAACCAGCGUAGGUGUGCAGUAAAUGAGUGCAUGUAGAUCCAAACGCUGUUAUAGCUGUUGUGGCAGUGUUUUUUAUUUGGAGUGCGUUGGUUGCAUGAAAAGAUUACAAGCAGAAAAGUGUCAUAAAACGUUUUGGUCCGCAUAACUGAAACUACGAUGGAGACUGAAGGCUGGACGUUUGGUGGUGGUUUACGAUAUCACUAGUAUGCGGGCCCUAAAUGAAAAUUGGGUAUAUGAGGGAGUCGGAAUUCAGAAAUUGUUCAUGCAAACUACAUAGCACAAAGGGGUGUUAAAUAUCGUAGCGCCAGUAGCCGUCACCCAACUCGCAACAGGAUGCUACUACGAAUCCGUGCAUGUUGCCAAUCAUCAAAGGAAGUUACUAUUGGAUGGAGAACAUUGUUUUGCAAACCUUUGUUGUCAACAUUUUUAUAUUGAAUACAGGAUGUUACUUUUUCAUAA
rnacentral:misc_RNA from 1 species